rnacentral:rRNA from 1 species
GACGAACGCUGGCGGCGUGCCUAAUACAUGCAAGUUGAGCGCUGAAGGUUGGUACUUGUACCAACUGGAUGAGCAGCGAACGGGUGAGUAACGCAUGGGGAAUCUGCCUUUGAGCGGGGGACAACAUUUGGAAACGAAUGCUAAUACCGCAUAAAAACUUUAAACACAAGUUUUAAGUUUGAAAGAUGCAAUUGCAUCACUCAAAGAUGAUCCCGCGUUGUAUUAGCUAGUUGGUGAGGUAAAGGCUCACCAAGGCGAUGAUACAUAGCCGACCUGAGAGGGUGAUCGGCCACAUUGGGACUGAGACACGGCCCAAACUCCUACGGGAGGCAGCAGUAGGGAAUCUUCGGCAAUGGACGAAAGUCUGACCGAGCAACGCCGCGUGAGUGAAGAAGGUUUUCGGAUCGUAAAACUCGGUUGGUAGAGAAGAACGUUGGUGAGAGUGGAAAGCUCAUCAAGUGACGGUAACUACCCAGAAAGGGACGGCUAACUACGUG